UAUUUAGUAAUAAAGUGAAGCUCUGUGAUUACUGUUGCAGUUAAACAGUCCUGAUCUCUUUGAUAUGUAUUCUGCUGGAAUUGUACUCUUGCAAAUUGCAAUACCAACCUUAAGGUCUCAAGCUGCUUUGAAGAAUUUCAAUUUGGAAAUGAGGACAUAUGGAUAUGAUUUGAACAAAUGGAGGGACUCUACUCGCAUGAAGUCUAACUUCCAAAUCCUUGAUAGUGAUUCUGGUAGAGGUUGGGACUUAGCAUCAAAGCUUAUCUCCAAAAGAAGUUCCGAAAGAAGAAGGCGUUUAUCUGCUGCUUCUGCUUUGAGGCAUCCUUAUUUUCUUCUUGGUGGUGAUCAGGCAGCUGCAGUUCUUUCUAAAUUCAGCUUUAGCACAAAGUGAACAGCUUAUAAAUUUUUGGUUUGUUUGGAUAAGUUUAUUUGAGUUUAUCUACAGGCAUAAACACGUGUGAGAUUGUUUGAGAAAGCUUAAGGAUACGGCCUAUAAUAUGCCCAUAAACUGUUUCUAGCUUAUUUUCGUAAGCUCUCUUGGAUAGCAUAUUAAAAAAACUUAUAGCUUGUAUAUAAGUAGUUUGACUUAAUUUUAUCUUUUGUUAUACACAUAGCUUAUAAGAGCUUAUACUAUAAACACUUAAUUAUAAGUUGUUUAUCCAAAUGUAAGUAUAUUUAUCUCAUUUUAUGAUUCUUUCAUUUUUUUUUUUCAUACUUAUACAUGCAUGACAGCUUUAUAUCACCAUAGCUUUACAAUUGGUAACUUUACGUAAGUUAGAGUUCAUCAUGAUAUAGGAUCUUCUCCCAACAUAUUUUUUUUCUUCUUACAACUCCAAUUGCAUUUGGAAGAACACAACUAGUUAAACAAAGCAAGCCUAUAGGAUUGAAGGGAUACAAUACUUGAAGUGGAAGGGGAUUUUGAGAAAACAAGCAUAACCAUCAUCCAUAUUAUCCGUUAAUCCUUCAGAUAACACCUGCCACACGAGGCUUCCAGCUCCACUCCCUCCUUUCUUUGUUGAAUUUAGGAUGGAACUGUUAACGGUGCUUAUUAAUGUGUCUCUAUAUGUUGAGUUGUAGCCAGGAUUCUUGGAAGAUACAUGUGAGUAGAAGCAAAGUUUACACAAAGAACUUGGUGGUUCCUAAUGGAAUGAACUUCAUACUCUGGUGUGUUGAAUGGCCAUAAAAUCCUUCUAGUCCAAUUUAUAGUCGAUUGAAUGCAUGAAGGUAAAGUAAUUCUUAAUGUUAUACCUAAGCAAGUUAAAUGGUAUAGUAGUAUUAAUUCAUACCCCUCUAACUAGUGUCUAAGCAGAUAUUUACAAAGUUGGAGAACAAAAAAAUUUCAAUAACGUCAAACCUCAUGCUGAAAAGAUUCUACUUAGAAGCAUAUGAAUAGUUUUUAAAUAUCGUUAGCACGCCCAUCAGAUUCAACUUUGGACACAAAGUGAACAAUAGCCAAACAGAGUUCACGAUUAAGUAGAAAAGAAAGAAAUAAAGCUUCUAAAGUAAAUAUCGUAACACAAAGCCAAACCAGAUAAAAAUAAACACAUAUCAAAUCUUAUAAUAAAACAAAAAAUUACAAUAUUUCAUGGCAUAAAUGAAUACAUCUCUUAAGAAAAUUACAUAUCAAAUCUUAUAAUAAAACAAAAAUUACAUGUGCGUAAAUGAAUACAUGUACAUAUGAUAUAUCACUGAUCAUCAAGCAAAUAAUGCGCCAAAUAGUUACAUCUCUUAAGAAAAUUCAUGACACUGGCACUGUUCACAGGGAUAUAAAGCCUUCAAACUUGGUUGUUACAAAACAAGGUCGGAUCAAAUUCGUUGAUUUUGGUGCAGCAACAGAUCUUAGGAUUUUCGUCAACCUGAACUGUAUCUUCUACCGCAAGAAACACCAAAUCUUCCUCCAUAGCCAAUUGCAGCUUGACUCACCAAUAUUGUGGCAGGUCUGACAUCUUUUAUCCUAUUUAAAUAUGUAUUCAAAUUAAUAUAAAAUUGGCUUCUAACAAUUUUUUAUAUUAGUAAAAGAAGUAUAUAGGCCAACAUAUUGAUAGAAUCACACGCAACUUUGAAGUACACAUACAUUAAUAAGUACUAUUUUGGCUAAUAUGUUCCUUAAUUUGAAAUAUGUUCAGAUGGAUUUAUAUUCUUCUAUUACCUAUUGUGGUAUCUUUUACUAAUUAAGGACCUAUUUGGUUAAACAGCUUAAUUUGCAGCUUAUAGCAAAAACAGUUAUCAUACAAGCGCUUGUGAGUAAGCUAUUUCUAUUACACAAGUUAGGUUUCAAUAUCAAAAUAAGUUUAUGUUUCUUCACUCGGAAAAAUGCUUAAGAGCUUUUAAAUGUUAAUAGAUAAAUUAGAGGUCUGCUUUGAUUCAAUUAUUUCAGCUAAGCUACUGACGUAAUUACUUGUGAGACUGUUUGAGAGAGUUUAUAGAAACCACUUUAACAUGUCCAUAAGCUCUCCAGGAUAAAUUAUGAAAACAGUUUGUAGCCUAUACAAAAAUAAUUGCACUAUGCUUUUUCUUUUGUGUGCAACAUGCAUUUAUGCUCUUCUUUGUCUGAUUGGAAUAUGCAAGUUAAGUACUAAAACAGAGAUCUGUGAUUACUGUUGCAGUUAAACAUUCCUGGAAUUGUGCUCCUUCCAAUGGCAAUACCAACCUUGAGGUCUCCGGUUGCUUUGAAGAAUUUCAAUUUGGAAAUGAGGACAUAUGUAUAUGAUUUUAACAAAUGGAGAGACGAUCUACUUGCAUCAAGUCUAACUUCCAAACCCUUGAUGGCGAUUCAGGUAUAGGCUGGGACUUAGCAUUAAAACUUAUCUCCAAAAGAUGAAUCAUUUAUCCACUGAUUCUGCUUUGAAGCAUCCAUACUUUCUUCUUGGUGGUGAUCAGGCAGCCGCAGUUCUUUCUAAAUUCAGCUUUAGCACAAAGUGAGCUGCUUAUAAAUGUUUCUGUUUGGAUUGGUUUAUUUAAGAUUGUCUGCUGACAUAAAUAUUUGUGAGACCGGGAGAGCUUAAGGAAACACUCAUGACAUGUCCAUAAGCUGUUUUCAGCUUAUUUCCAUAAACUCUGGAAGGCAGCUCAUCAAAACAAUAUAUAGUUUGUAUGAAAACAAUUUGACUUCUUUUUUUUUUAAUUUAUUUUUUUAUAGAAAUAGCUUAUACAUGUUUAUCCAAACACGACCUUUAUGUAAGUAUAUUUGUCAUUUUCAAUCAUAUUACUCACAAGAUGAGAUGAUAUAUUCAAUGACAUUUUGCACUUUUAUUUGUCUAUUAUUGGCAGGUAUGCAUAACUGGUAAAUGUAAUCAGUGAAAAAUAUCAUAACACGCUUCUAUCUUAAGAUGGUGAGCUUGCAUAACUACACAAAUUCAACCUGUGUGGUUUUAUAUGGCUAUAGCUUUACAAAGGGAAACUUUACAUAAGUUAGAGUUCAUCAUGAUAGAGUAUCUUCUCCAACAUUUUCUUCUUCUUACAACUCCAAUUGCAUCUGGUAGAACACACCGAGUUGAACAAAGCAAGCCUCGUGGAUUGAAGGGUUACAAUACUUGAAGUGGAAGGAGAUUUUGAGAAAACAAUAGCAUAGCCGUCAUCCAUAUUAUCGGUUCCUUCAGGAAAUACCUGCCACAAAAGGCUUCCAGCUCCACUCCCUCCUUUCUUUGUGGAGUUUAGGACUGCGCUGUAAACAGUGCUUAUUAGUGUGUCUCUAUAUGUUGAGUUGUAGCCAGGAUCCUUGGAUGAUACACCAAACUCAGAAAAAACAACUGGCAUUCCAAGAUACUUUUCAGCAUCCUCUAUGUGUGCAUCCAUCCAUGAUUUUACAAAUGAGAUAUGUGUAUCAGCAAUUUGUGGUGAAACCCUUCAAACAAGAUGACUGACUUAGUUAUAAACGGUUAUACUAUUCAUGUUCAAAGGUGUGCAUUUAAAUAAAGAACCAACCACGUUAUUAUGUAGACAAAAAGUGUUGGUUCAAAUAACUCUGCAGUCUGAUCUUAGUCCCUCCAGUUUUUAAAGUUUUAGUCUUUGAAACAUUAGAAAAAUUGCUUUUGAACCUUGUUGUUUUAGUUUCAGUUCCUAUAAAUAUUUGUGUAUUUUGGAAACAGUUGCUGUAAUAUGUGGAUAUCCCUAAAAUGGAGGGCAAUCCGACAACUUGUUACAACAUGAACAAAAUGAAAACAAUAUUUCAAUGUUUUAGGACUAAAACCAAAAAAAGGAAGAAUGAGGGGGGCUGGUUAGAAAAUGUAUAUAUUACAAGGGCCAAAUGUUAAUAAAUAGUGUUUAUCACAGACUAGCAAAUAGUAGAAAAACUUCAGAAACUUACCAAGAGUCAGCAUACAUGUGAACAGAAGCAAAGUCCACUCCAAGAACCUGAUGGUUCCUAAUAAAAUCAGUUCCAACCUGUUGAGCAUAUGUAUUUGGAUUGAACUGAAGUCUCUGAGGUGUUGAAGGGCCAUAAAAUCCUUCUAGUCCAAUCUCCACUAGGUGUUUUGGAUCAAUUUUAUUCACAUGGAAUGCCAUUUCUUGUAUCCAAUCCUGUAUUAUAUAUUCACAAGUGAAAAGUUGUUGAGUUGAGUGCAACUACAUGAUAUCAAUAUAAGUUUGUUAUAAUGAUAUCCAGAAGAAGUUUACAAGGGGCAAACCUGUAACUUGUCACCUGUGGGAUCAGAGUUGCAUCUAGGCUCAUUCAUGAGUUCCCAAGCAAAAAUGGUAGGAUCUUCCUUAUAAGUGAUAUUUGUGAAUGUGUUAACUCUAUUGAGCACAGUCUACACAGUGAAAUUUAACUUAGUCAUUGCAGUAUAUACCAAACAAGCUUUAAAGUAAGCAAUGUUGGUUUUGAGCUGUAGCAUUUAAGAAAGGAACUUGCCUUAACGUGGGACUUGUAGUAGCUUCUAAGGGUUGAAUGUGUGUAGAAGUCAUCAUCAGAGGUCAAGUUAAGGCCAGCAUCUUUGCCCCAUUUCACAUAUUGUGCUUUUCCACCAUAUGCCUCCCAAUUGUUGGCCAAUGAUAAUAUCAGCCUGAUUUUGUAUUUCUUUGCUUCACUUACCACAAAGUCCAAGGCCUGUAGAUCAAUCAUAACCAUAACCAUCAAAUCAUACAAACAUUUGAUUUUAUUCGUAACAACUUUUAAAAUCAUUCAUUUAAUUGGCUGUGAUGUGCUUUGCAGACAACGCAAAACUUUUUACGGUGACAGUGUAUACAAAUUAAACUCAUUAAGUUAAGGAGUACCUUGAAGACUUCUUCGUCAUAAACCGAAGGGGAUUUUUGUAGGGCCCGCCAUUGGCCAUCAUUGAAAGCCCAAGUCCUACAAACUGUCAUACCUAGUGAGGAUGCUUGUUUGAAAACCUCAGUGACUUUUCCUCUGGUGGAGUCAUCUGCAGCAAACAUCAUUAACCAGUAUGUGUUGAAUCCAUUUAUAUAGAAAGGCUGACCAUUCACCACAAAUUGGUUUCCUUUCUUCCCUACCAUUUGCCAUUCAUCCUCUUCCAUGUCCCACAUUGUUUCACUUCUAACACCAUUACAAAAAACCAAUAUUUAAUUCAAUUUUCAAGGUUAAAAGAACAAACAUAUCAUCAUCAUCCAUUGUCACCAUCGGCUGCAAUUUGGGGUUGAAACCGACCAUUGACAACGACAUCCCACACAUCCAUAUCCACCGAUUGGAUGUGAACACCGAAAGAGUUUUAAACAAAAGGUUCAGAAGGUUUAAACUCUAGAAAUUAACAUCAUUGCUAAUUUACAAACAUUUGUCUGCUAAACUAAAAUGAUCAUAGGACAACUAAAAAAAUGUAACAUAAAAAAAUUGACAUAAAAUUGCAAUCCAAUUUAAAAAUAAUGAAAAAUCCAUACUUUAAUAAACAAAAUUUUAAAGAAACCUCGUACAAAAAAGUUCGUAUAUUGGUUGGCUAGUAAAUAGUAAUAUAGAACAGCUAGAGGGUGCAUGCAUGAUCAUACCCAUAAUUUGUGAUAGGUUUAUGUACAUGAUCUUGUCCUUCCUUUUGUGCCUCUUCAUCCACCCUACUAACAGCAUUAGAACUUAGAAUCAAAAGAAGGAAUAAAAAAAUAAUAGGCAUUCCCAUUUUCUUCAUUGAGAUUGGUUACUUAGCCACAAUAUAAUGUCCAUGCUCUAUUAGGGCAUGUUAUUAAAUAUCUGAACAUUUUAAGUUAUCUUUCCAUAGAAAUCGAUCAAACUUAGAAGGUUAGCGGGCAAGUAUAAAGUACAUUCUAUAUCUAACUUUAAAGUGAAGAAAAUAUUUUCUAUGUUCCAUUUUUAAGCAAUGGUUUAUACAAGUGAAGGAGUAAAGUUACAAAAACAUCACCUUUGUUUCCUAAGGCACUUUCAAGUGGGUUCCACAGUAUAGACUUAUAGAGAGAGGCUUAUGGUCGACAUAUAUAUGCUUAUAAGCUUAUAGAUGUGUAUUGAGAAAUUAUAUAAUACAGCUUCUAAAAAACUGAACUUUAGAAUCAAAUUUCAACAUAUAUGAGAAGCUCUUGCUUAAACAAAUGCUUAAUUAUUUAUUAUAAGAUUAUUUUGAUCUCUCUUUUUAUCAUAAGCAUUCAUAGAGAAUUUUAUCAAACUGAUUCUUAAUCUGUAUGGAGUUAUUUCCUUCAAGCAAACACACUAUGUAUGCAACAUGCAUUUAUACUCUUCCUUGUCUGUUUCAAAUAUAUAUAUAUAUAUUUAGUAAUAAAGUGAAGCUCUGUGAUUACUGUUGCAGUUAAACAGUCCUGAUCUCUUUGAUAUGUAUUCUGCUGGAAUUGUACUCUUGCAAAUUGCAAUACCAACCUUAAGGUCUCAAGCUGCUUUGAAGAAUUUCAAUUUGGAAAUGAGGACAUAUGGAUAUGAUUUGAACAAAUGGAGGGACUCUACUCGCAUGAAGUCUAACUUCCAAAUCCUUGAUAGUGAUUCUGGUAGAGGUUGGGACUUAGCAUCAAAGCUUAUCUCCAAAAGAAGUUCCGAAAGAAGAAGGCGUUUAUCUGCUGCUUCUGCUUUGAGGCAUCCUUAUUUUCUUCUUGGUGGUGAUCAGGCAGCUGCAGUUCUUUCUAAAUUCAGCUUUAGCACAAAGUGAACAGCUUAUAAAUUUUUGGUUUGUUUGGAUAAGUUUAUUUGAGUUUAUCUACAGGCAUAAACACGUGUGAGAUUGUUUGAGAAAGCUUAAGGAUACGGCCUAUAAUAUGCCCAUAAACUGUUUCUAGCUUAUUUUCGUAAGCUCUCUUGGAUAGCAUAUUAAAAAAACUUAUAGCUUGUAUAUAAGUAGUUUGACUUAAUUUUAUCUUUUGUUAUACACAUAGCUUAUAAGAGCUUAUACUAUAAACACUUAAUUAUAAGUUGUUUAUCCAAAUGUAAGUAUAUUUAUCUCA
rnacentral:lncRNA from 1 species